rnacentral:rRNA from 1 species
GAUGAACGCUAGCGACAGGCCUAACACAUGCAAGUCGAGGGGCAGCACAUGAGUAGCAAUACGAUGGUGGCGACCGGCGCACGGGUGAGUAACACGUAUGCAACCUGCCUGUAAGAGGGGGAUAACCCGGAGAAAUUCGGACUAAUACCGCAUAAUACCACGAGACUGCAUGGUUUUGUGGUUAAACAUUUAUGGCUUACAGAUGGGCAUGCGUAUGAUUAGAUAGUUGGUAGGGUAACGGCCUACCAAGUCUACGAUCAUUAGGGGUUCUGAGAGGAAGGUCCCCCACACUGGUACUGAGACACGGACCAGACUCCUACGGGAGGCAGCAGUUAGGAAUAUUGGACAAUGGGCGAAAGCCUGAUCCAGCCAUGCCGCGUGUGUGAUGAAGGCCUUAGGGUUGUAAAGCACUUUCGUUGGGGAUGAUAAUGACCGUACCCAAAGAAGAAGCCACGGCUAAAUUCGUG